UACAGAGGGUGCGAGCGUUAAUCGGAAUUACUGGGCGUAAAGCGCACGUAGGUGGCGACGUAAGUCGGGUGUGAAAGCCCCGGGCUCAACCUGGGAAUUGCAUUCGAGACUGCAUUGCUGGAGUACGGAAGAGGAAGGCGGAAUUCCCGGUGUCGCGGUGAAAUGCGUAGAUAUCGGGAGGAACAUCAGUGGCGAAGGCGGCCUUCUGGUCCAGUACUGACACUCAAGUGCGAAAGCGUGGGGAGCAAACAGG
rnacentral:rRNA from 1 species